CAAAGCCCAUGUAAUGCAGAACCACUAUCAUGAACGACCAGUCCACCUGGUCAGAAGGCUUUUUAGCAUCCGUGGAUAACGGCACUAGAGGCAUGACCUUCUUCUUUUGCGCUGAGUAUUGAAUGGACAGUAAUCGUAGGAUGCUGUUUGAUUUGCGGUAGAAAUGUCCAUAGCCUGGUGGCUAAUACUUGCGUGAAGAGCUUGGCAUCGACAUUUAAAAGAAAGAUCGGCCUAUAGCUUCC